rnacentral:rRNA from 1 species
CAUCGCUCAACGGAUAAAAGGUACUCCGGGGAUAACAGGCUGAUACCGCCCAAGAGUUCAUAUCGACGGCGGUGUUUGGCACCUCGAUGUCGGCUCAUCACAUCCUGGGGCUGAAGCCGGUCCCAAGGGUAUGGCUGUUCGCCAUUUAAAGUGGUACGCGAGCUGGGUUUAGAACGUCGUGAGACANUUCGGUCCCUAUCUGCCGUGGACGUUUGAGAUUUGAGAGGGGCUGCUCCUAGUACGAGAGGACCGGAGUGGACGAACCUCUGGUGUUCCGGUUGUCACGCCAGUGGCAUUGCCGGGUAGCUAUGUUCGGAAGAGAUAACCGCUGAAAGCAUCUAAGC